AGCGAACGCUGGCGGCAGGCCUAACACAUGCAAGUCGAACGAACCCUUCGGGGUUAGUGGCGGACGGGUGAGUAACACGUGGGAACGUGCCUUUAGGUUCGGAAUAACUCAGGGAAACUUGUGCUAAUACCGAAUGUGCCCUUCGGGGGAAAGAUUUAUCGCCUUUAGAGCGGCCCGCGUCUGAUUAGCUAGUUGGUGAGGUAAUGGCUAACCAAGGCUACGAUCAGUAGCUAGUCUGAGAGGAUGACCAGCCACAUUGGGACUGAGACACGGCCCAAACUCCUACGGGAGGCAGCAGUGGGGAAUCUUGCGCAAUGGGCGAAAGCCUGACGCAGCCAUGCCGCGUGGAUGAUGAAGGUCUUAGGAUUGUAAAAUCCUUUCACCGGUGAAGAUAAUGACUGUAGCCGGAGAAGAAGCCCCGGCUAACUUCGUGCCAGCCGCCACAGUAAAAC
rnacentral:rRNA from 1 species